rnacentral:rRNA from 1 species
UGGGGUAUAUUGGACAAUGGGCGAAAGCCUGAUCCAGCCAUGCCGCGUGUGUGAAGAAGGUCUUCGGAUUGUACAGCACCUUAAGUUGGGCGGAAGGGCAGUAAAUUAAUACUUUGCUGUUUUGACGUUACCGACAGAAUAAGCACCGGCUAACUCUGUGCCAGCAGCCGCGGUAAUACAGAGGGUGCAAGCGUUAAUCGGAAUUACUGGGCGUAAAGCGCGCGUAGGUGGUUCGUUAAGUUGGAUGUGAAAUCCCCGGGCUCAACCUGGGAACUGCAUUCAAAACUGACGAGCUAGAGUAUGGUAGAGGGUGGUGGAAUUUCCUGUGUAGCGGUGAAAUGCGUAGAUAUAGGAAGGAACACCAGUGGCGAAGGCGACCACCUGGACUGAUACUGACACUGAGGUGCGAAAGCGUGGGGAGCAAACA